rnacentral:rRNA from 1 species
CAGGAUGAACGCUAGCUACAGGCUUAACACAUGCAAGUCGCGGGGCAUCAUGGCAUGUAGCAAUACAUGCUGAUGGCGACCGGCGGAUGGGUGAGUAACGCGUAUCCAACCUGGCCCUAUCUCGGGUACAGCCCCUCGAAAGAGGGAUUAAUCCCCGAUGUUCCCUGGGAUCCGCAUGUUUUCCAGGGCAAAGGCAUUUGUCGGAUAGGGAUGGGGAUGCGUUCCAUUAGGCAGUCGGCGGGGUAACGGCCCACCGAGCCGACGAUGGAUAGGGGUUCUGAGAGGAAGGCCCCCCACACUGGGACUGAGACACGGCCCAGACUCCUACGGGAGGCAGCAGUGAGGAAUAUUGGUCAAUGGCGGUAACGCUGAACCAGCCAAGUAAGCGUGAGGGAUUACGGCCCUAUGGGUUUUAAACCUCUUUGUUAGGGAGCAACCGGUGGCACUAGUGCCAUUCUGCGAGUACCUUUCGAAUAAGCAUCGGCUAACUCCGUGCCAGCCGCCGC